rnacentral:rRNA from 1 species
UGGGGAAUAUUGCACAAUGGGCGCAAGCCUGAUGCAGCCAUGCCACGUGUAUGGAGAAGGCCUUCGGGUUGUAAAGUACUUUCAGCGGGGAGGAAGGGAGUAAAGUUAAUACCUUUGCUCAUUGACGUUACCCGCAGAAGAAGCACCGGCUAACUCCGUGCCAGCAGCCGCGGUAAUACGGAGGGUGCAAGCGUUAAUCGGAAUUACUGGGCGUAAAGCGCACGCAGGCGGUUUGUUAAGUCAGAUGUGAAAUCCCCGGGCUCAACCUGGGAACUGCAUCUGAUACUGGCAAGCUUGAGUCUCGUAGAGGGGGGUAGAAUUCCAGGUGUAGCGGUGAAAUGCGUAGAGAUCUGGAGGAAUACCGGUGGCGAAGGCGGCCCCCUGGACGAAGACUGACGCUCAGGUGCGAAAGCGUGGGGAGCAAACAGG